rnacentral:rRNA from 2 species
GAAUGCUGACAUAAGUAACGAUAAAGCGGGUGAAAAGCCCGCUCGCCGGAAGACCAAGGGUUCCUGUCCAACGUUAAUCGGGGCAGGGUGAGUCGACCCCUAAGGCGAGGCCGAAAGGCGUAGUCGAUGGGAAACGGGUUAAUAUUCCCGUACUUGGUGUUACUGCGAAGGGGGGACGGAGAAGGCUAUGUUGGCCGGGCGACGGUUGUCCCGGUUUAAGCGUGUAGGUGUGUGUUCCAGGUAAAUCCGGUUCACUUUAACACUGAGGCGUGAUGACGAGGCACUACGGUGCUGAAGCAACAAAUGCCCUGCUUCCAGGAAAAGCCUCUAAGCAUCAGGUAACAUCAAAUCGUACCCCAAACCGACACAGGUGGUCAGGUA